rnacentral:ncRNA from 1 species
CGUCUUCAGGGCGGGGUGAGAUUCCCGACCGGCGGUAAAGUCCGCGAGCCGUUUUCGGCAUGAUCCGGUGUGAUUCCGGGACCGACAGUAAAGUCUGGAUGAGAGAAGAC